ACUGUACGUAUAAUACGUAUGACAUAUAUUUUUUUUUAUCAAUUACACAAAACAUCAGACUAUUAAUUCAGUUGAUUUGUUCAUUUAUUUUUCUUUCUUUUCUUCUCGAUUAGGCAGUAUCGCUAAAUUAAAGGAAGGUGAUAUGCCAAAAUUCGGCGACCAGAAUUAAUGAACGAAACAACCGUACUAUGCCUGUAUAAUUGCUUCAUUCGGUGAAAUGUCUGUUACUCUCCACGUAUAAAUAUUCUUAAGUUUUGUCUGUCUUUCUUACAGAAAUAUCUGUACAUUUAUAAGUGUAUAUAAGCGUAUAUAUUUAUUAUAUACAAUACAUUUAUCAUAUAAAACCUUGUAACCCGGGACAACAAUGGCGCAAUACCGGGGCGAAAAAAGGUGGGUCAUUACAAGUAAUUGAGUUGCUACAUAAAUGAGAACAUUUAUUGCCAACAAUUAAAUAACGCAUACAGAUUUAUCGCACGAACCGGCGCGCGACUGAAAUGCUAAAAAUUGUCCAGAAAUUUG